rnacentral:rRNA from 1 species
GUGGGGAAUCUUCCGCAAUGGACGAAAGUCUGACGGAGCAACGCCGCGUGAGUGAAGAAGGUUUUCGGAUCGUAAAGCUCUUUCGUUAGGGACGAACGUGCUCUUUGUGAAUAAUGAGGAGUAAUGACGGUACCUAAAUAAGAAGCCACGGCUAACUACGUGCCAGCAGCCGCGGUAAUACGUAGGUGGCAAGCGGUGUCCGGAAUUAUUGGGCGUAAAGCGCGCGCAGGCGGGAUAUCAAGUCUGUCUUAAAAGUGCGAGGCUCAACCUCGUGAGGGGACAGAAACUGGUAUUCUUGAGUGUCGGAGAGGAAAGUGGAAUUCCAAGUGUAGCGGUGAAAUGCGUAGAGAUUUGGAAGAACACCAGUGGCGAAGGCGACUUUCUGGACGAUGUCUGACGCUGAGGCGCGAAAGCUAGGGGAGCGAACGGGAUUAGAAACCCGAGUAGUCC